rnacentral:lncRNA from 1 species
GGGAGUCUUUUACAUUAUUCUUUUUGCUUAUGAUCAAAAAGGGGGAAAAGAAUUAUAAGGGGGGAGAAUUAAGAGAAGAAAUAUCUUACAAUUGUAUAGGUACUGCUAACUCUGUGGUUGUCUAUUAGCUUGUAUGUGUUGCAGGUAAACCAGAGUUGCUUUUAAAAAGAGAAUUUUUUAUCAUCAUAAAAAAGGGGGAGAUUGUUACCAAUAAGGAGUAUUGGUAAAACAUGAA